GCGCAACUUUGAGACUCGUGUGCGUGGAGGGAAUCACUUCAUUUGAGGCAAGGGUUUGGUUUAAAAUGUCUAUGGAACGAGCUGGAGCCUUUUUUGGUCAUGACAACGCCCACAUCCGCGUCGAGAUCACCAACAUGUGAGUCCGCAACUUCAUCUUAUUGAUCAUCCCAAGAAGGCACCUAAACUGGACUCCGUAGCGGAUAGUGUGAUGUCUGCUUGACCACAACAGCUUCAUCGGCG
rnacentral:lncRNA from 1 species